rnacentral:rRNA from 1 species
UACGUAGGGGCCUAGCGUUGUCCGGAUUUAUUGGGCGUAAAGAGCUCGUAGGCGGUUUGGUGAGUCGGGUGUGAAAUCUCCACGCUCAACGUGGAGGGGCCACCCGAUACUGCCAUACUAGAGUCCGGUAGGGGAGUGGUGGAAUUCCCGGUGUAGCGGUGAAAUGCGCAGAUAUCGGGAGGAACACCAGUAGCGAAAGCGGCACCCUGGCGUCGUACU